CCUUCCCAGGCCUCAUUUAAGGGUUGGCAGUGGAUGCAAGGGUCUCUUGCUGGAGAUCCCUGCUACCUGAGGCCUUCAAAGAUGUAACUAUGCGGUGAGGUAGCCUUGGCUAACAAACUACAACCUACUGGCUCAUGCACUGCCACCAGUACUCCAAUUGGAUGGGAAAAUAAAAUAACAGGAGGUUGUUUACAUCACAUCUAAACUGUCAUCCAGCUUUAUGAAACUAUGUAUCCAGAAACUCACAACAAAUUCUAGGACUCCUUCGUGAAGGACACACAAAAGAGAUACCUUUUGAGAAAUAAGAAAUCAGUGGAAGCUGCAAAGGUAAUAAGCAAGAAAAUUGAGACAGG